GUUCUUGAGAUACCCACAGUUCAGUGGGGAGAAUACAAUCAUAUACUUAAUACACAAGGUGCAGGGUGCUCUGCUGGCGCGGUGAAGCUGGUGUUGAAACUGAAUCUUAAAGGGUGAGUGGAUGUUUCAAAGAGAAGAUAGGGUUUUAUGAGGUGUACAGGGUUGUGCAUUCUUCAGUAUACAUCUGCCUGAAUUGUUUUAUGGUUGGCAAGUUGGCAUCAUAUUUUGAUAAGUUGCUUCUUACCAAGAGCAUGCCUGCUCUUGGUAAAUUACUUCUCUAGAACUUUGCUGUCCGUUUCAAUAGCUCCUAGCUAAAUGUGGCCGUGUAGGUUAAGGUCAC
rnacentral:lncRNA from 1 species